AUGUUCCACAGAAUACCGUUAAAAGUUUGCUUCGACCAGAGUUCAAAUUUAACCGUAAUUGGUAGAACUGGCCCUGAAACUAGGUCCAAACGCUACCGAGAAAAUAGAUUGGUAGAAUUCACCAUUACUUCACGCUGUAUUUCGCAUACCGUGAAUUCGAAGUCGAUUCUGCCAGAAAAAUGGUUACCUGUAGUAGUAUUUAGUAACGCUUACCUUUCCUCUGGCAGAGUGGACUCUGAAUUGACGCUGUGUGAAAUACAGCGUGGAGGAAUGGUGAAUUCUACCAAUCUUCUUUCUCGAUGGGUCUCUUGUAAAAGUUCUGUAUUAUUAUAUCUUUUUAUAUUCUUAUUCCUUUCUCAUUAUCUUUCUUCUUUUUCUUCGUCUGUUAUAGAGCAAUUAAGACCAUUAAAACCUCAAUUAAAACCCUGUUCCGUCCGCAUUGAAGUCCCGCAAAUAUGGGAAUCAUACCGGCAAGGCCAUGAAAACCAUCCACCCUGCACCGAGAGCCCGCAAGAACCGAGCAGUCCAGUUCCACCUGAUGUCCCGCAUAAUCCUAUCACUAGUUCUCGUAACAAAAGUCAAGAGAAGCUGGGUACUCCCGUCCCCAAAGAAAACUCAGAGGCUUUUACUUGUAAUAUCUGCAAGAAAACGUUUUCUAGAAGCACUUCUCUACGCCGUCAUGUGAAGAUGCACACCGGUGAUACGAAAUGCAAAAUAUGUGGGAAGGUUAUGUCAUCAGUCAUUUAUUUAAAAUAUCACUUGCUUAUCGUCCACGGGAGUCCCAUUGAAGAAAGGCAUGGAUCAAGAGAACUCACGCCGAAUGUCAAUCUGUUUGAAUGCGAUCAUUGUAAAAAGGAGUACCAUUCUCGUAUAGCUCUGAUCAAACACAUGAGGGUGCACGCCGGUGAGACAAGCUGCAAAAUUUGUGGGAAGACGUUAUCAAGUGUUCCUUACUUAAAGGAACACAUCCUUUUUAGCCACAAACUUUCAAAGGAAGAGAUCGAUAAAAUGAUAGUCACUAGGCCUCACACCAAGAGCACAUGA
rnacentral:lncRNA from 1 species